rnacentral:lncRNA from 1 species
GCCAGCUCGCGGUUUAUGAAGUCGACAAAGUGCUUCUUCCUCGCGAUUUCUUUGUUGCUAAACCUCCAGCACCGGCUCCAGCACCUGAAAAAGCUAAGGCAUCGUCGUCUAAGAAGAAAUCUGCUGAUAACGAUGUAGUUGCAGGAGACGAUGAUUCUACUUCUGCUGCUAGUGUGAAACAGCGGUGUCUCAUUUCUGUUCCUGUUGCAGUUGCUACAAUUAUAGUAGCAUUAUUUUCAUGGUGAAGAAGAUUAUAUAUCAAAGUUUAAAGAUCAUGCAACUGGGGUGGAUUAAUUGAUCUACAUUUUGCAGAUUUAUAUAUAAUGCUCUUUCAAUGAUUGUGUUGUUAAUUUUUCUUUAUUUCUUAUUUCUCAUAUGUAUGCUGGUGUUAUAAGAAAAAAUGAAUCUAUGCAAAAUUGAGAAAGCUUCAUAUGAAAAAAAUUAAAUAUCUAGAACCUAUGUUAUUAGGAAAAAUCAUCUCAAUGAUAUAUAUAUGUUUUUCUUGAGUUUGCACAAGACCACCACUACAUUAUGCUAAAAUCUUAUGAGAGUAGGAGUGGGAUGAAUUGAUUCUAAGACCAAUUAUGUUUGAAAUUCUGUAUGGUAUUUGUUUAACUAUGUAAUGAUACAAAGUAAGUGACCAUAUAUGAGUUGUUUACUUUGAUUAUGUUGCAUGUUUUAUUUUUGUUAAUUCAGCUACUUUAGAAUAUUGGUUUUCUUGUGUUUAUAUUGUGAUUUCAUAUAUAUAUGAAUUGGUUUAGAGUCCUUGUUUACUUUUAUGAAUUUACUAAACAAUAAGUACAAAUUUGCAUUAUGCAAUGAUACUAGUAUGCCUAUCGAAAUCAUGAGCAUCAACAUUUUGGUUCCAGAUCCAAGUAGUUAUCAGGUCUCUUAGCUAUUGUUCUUGAGAAAUGACCAGGUUUUGCCCAUUGCUCGAAACAAGUUUUUAUGGGAUCCCUAUCUAUCAAAAUUUUGACUUUUGGUUCGGGCGAACGAAUAGUAAGUGACCAUAUGAGCUUGUCGCUACUUAUAAAACAACUUACCUAUAAAUAAAAUUGCACUUAAUAGUAACAUAAUUAUUUUUAAUCUGCAUAAAUAAGUAUCAUCUGACAUAUAUUAUCAACGCAAUGCCUAUUAAUGCCGUCUAUACAAUCAUCAUCAGAAUUGCAGGAAGUUGGAGCUGCAUUGUCAAAUAAGGAAAAAGAAAGGUUAAUUAAUAAUAUUGUGUAUAAAAUAAAUUAAAAAAUGGUGUGAAAAAUGAGAUUUCAGAUUUCAACGAUAUUGGCACCUCAAAAUCACUAUAUAUCAUUUAAUAAAUUUAUUAAAAUAAAAUAAAACAAUGAUAUAAUGAGCCCUUUUGUUUUAGCUUUAAAAAAAAAAAACUUUGUAUUUUUUAAAAAAACAUUUUAUGAUAACUUAAUUAAAAAUAGUAAAAGUUAUUUAAAAUUCAUCAUUUUACAAAUUAAAAGAGUGAUUUUGAUAUUUAGUAAUUUUUUUAAGACAAAGAUAUUUAGUAACUUAAAUAUCGAUGUUAGUGAUUUUAGCUUAAUAAAAAUCACACUUUUUUAAAAGGGAUAUCUCUGAAAAAUGAAUUUUAUGAAAAACUAUUUAAAGCUUCUUAUUUUAGAGAACUAUUUAUCAUCCAAAAGCUUUUGUAAAAAAUGAUGAAAUAAGAUAAUUUAAGAAUUAUUUAAACCAUAUGUCAAACAAAAAAAAAUUAUUUAAACCAAUUUCUCAUUUGAAGCUUUUAUAAAAAAAAUUUAUUUAUUAAUUUUUUUAACAAGAAAACAAUACACAAUAAAAAUCAUUCUUCAAAAAAUCUAGAACAAAGGAGCUCUAUAACAUGAACUCUUGAAGAACUGACCAAAACCCAUUAUAGCAAUCAAGAGAUUAUACAUCAACUGCAUGUGGAUGCGGUAUUAAAAAUCUUACUUGGAGGUGGAAAACCAAAUGGGAUACCAAAGGCAUUGUUUACAAAAAGAAAUAAAGAAAGAAAAAUGAUGAAAAAAUAAACAAACAUGAUAUUUUGACCCAUAUUUUUUCUGAUUUGCAUGUAAUAAAUAUAAAACUUUUUUUAUCACUAUAUAACCGAAAAAUUC